CUACGGGCCGCACCAGUGGGGAAUAUUGCACAAUGGACGAAAGUCUGAUGCAGCAACGCCGCGUGGAGGAUGACACAUUUCGGUGCGUAAACUCCUUUUAUAUAGGAAGAUAAUGACGGUACUAUAUGAAUAAGCACCGGCUAACUCCGUGCCAGCAGCCGCGGUAAUACGGAGGGUGCAAGCGUUACUCGGAAUUACUGGGCGUAAAGAGCGUGUAGGCGGGUUUGUAAGUUGGAUGUGAAAUCCUAUGGCUCAACCAUAGAACUGCAUCCAAAACUGCUUACCUAGAAUAUGGGAGAGGUAGAUGGAAUUUCUGGUGUAGGGGUAAAAUCCGUAGAGAUCAGAAGGAAUACCGAUUGCGAAGGCGAUCUACUGGAACAUUAUUGACGCUGAGACGCGAAAGCGUGGGGAGCAAACAGGAUUAGAUACCCGUGUAGUC
rnacentral:rRNA from 1 species